rnacentral:lncRNA from 1 species
UUUCAGCCAUUGAGCAGACGCCAGACAGCAUGUUACACGUCAUUUUGUUCUGGACAGAAGGAAUUGAGUUUUCCAGAAAUCAUCGUUCGGCUUUAUUUAACGCGAAGCUAUUAAAGAAAACUCCAGACGAUACAGAGUUCAAUCAAAAGUCAAAACUACGUAAGGAGGAAGGAGAGAAAAGAAAACUUAAGUGUGGCAAGAUGGAAAACGAAACAAUGUUGGGAGGGUCGAGAAUCUGGAGAUAUCACUUCUGAACUUAACACUGAACAGGCUGAAAUUCUCUAAAUUUAUCGCUCAUUGGCCUACAAGCAACAAGGCAACAUCUGACGAUUCUGAUCUUGCAUGAAUGGAAGAGAACAUUUGGCACUCAUAAUUUGGUUAACUUUUGAAGAGAAAGUGAGGAGAAAAUACUCCAAGGAUCUCAUUCCUCCAACAACUAUGGCAGAUUUGUUCACGGUUUACCCUCGCCGCUGUUCGAUAGACUUUAUCAAUUGGUGGAAGAUGACAAGUGGUCGGCCGCGCUGAAAUUCAAGAUCGAUAAAUUAUAUAGAUGUUUAGAAAUUACAAGUGCAUAUCUGGACUCCCUUCUCAGUGGCCCCGUUUCCCUAAUUAACCACUAACCAGUCGCUGCGACAACCAGGAGGAAGGGAGUGGACUGGUCGAACAGGGACUUGCAAGGCGCAUGAUUCGAUGAAAUUUGUUGGAGGGUCAUGAAUCUAAGCCGGAAGCCUACUAAGAUUAAUCGCUCUCGUAAUAACUGUUCCUCGGCUCUCUUCGCUCUUUUUCCGGUUUCUUUGAACCAUGGCCGGGUAACCUCCCUUGUCGAGUCAGUGCGGGCAGUGUCUUCCCUUGCUUGACUGGCUGCAGUUUGAACCGGACGGUCUGUUAAAAUAAGAAUUUAAAUCUAGAACAACGCCUCCUUUGAGCGGCCCGGACAAUCCUGAAUCCUUUAGGGUUGCCAUUCCAUCGAGGCUUAAACGAGGAUGACGCGGAGGGGUUGCCCAUUGAGGGGUUUUGGUGACAAGGAGUCACUGAACGAAACGCUAAACCAAAUGAAAAAAUAAGAAAGCCAACGAUCCUUUAUAUAUCCGAGCCGAGUCCUUUCCGUCUACAUUCGGUAUGAAGAGUAAAACCUAAAUUUCAACA